rnacentral:rRNA from 1 species
GAAGCUGGAAUCGCUAGUAAUCGCGAAUCAGAAUGUCGCGGUGAAUACGUUCCCGGGUCUUGUACACACCGCCCGUCACACCAUGGGAGUCGGAAAUGCCCGAAGUCAGUGACCUAACCGAAAGGGAGGAGCUGCCGAAGGUGGAGCCGGUAACUGGGGUGAAGUCGUAACAAGGUACC